CAGUAGCCGCGGGAAUACGGAGGGUGCAAGCGUUAAUUGGAAUUACUGGGCGUAAAGCGCAUGCAGGCGGUCUGACAAGUCAGAUGUGAAAUCCCCGGGCUUAACCUGGGAACUGCAUUUGAAACUGUCAGGCUGGAGUCUUGUAGAGGGGGGUGGAAUUCCAGGUGUAGCGGUGAAAUGCGUAGAGAUCUGGAGGAAUACCGGUGGCGAAGGCGGCCCCCUGGACAAAGACUGACGCUCAGGUGCGAAAGCGUGGGGAGCAAACAGGAUUAGAUACCCGAGUAGUCCCUGUCUCUUAUAC
rnacentral:rRNA from 1 species